rnacentral:rRNA from 1 species
AAACCCUGCCUACCCCUACGUUAACCUGACACAAGAGAAUCCCAAGAAAGAUUAAAAAAAGCGGAAGGAACUCGGCAAAAUUCAGCCCCGCCUGUUUACCAAAAACAUCGCCUCUUGCCUCAUAAGAGGUCCAGCCUGCCCAGUGACCCAAUUCAACGGCCGCGGUAUCCUGACCGUGCGAAGGUAGCGUAAUCACUUGUUCUUUAAAUAAGGACUAGUAUGAACGGCAUCACGAAGGCUGUACUGUCUCCCGCCUUUAAUCAGUGAAAUUAAUCUCCCCGUGAAGAAGCGGGGAUGAAACCAUAAGACGAGAAGACCCCAUGGAGCUUUAAACAAAGGGCAUUUACUAACCCAUAACAAGAGUUAAGCAUUAUGACCCCCUAGUUUUUGGUUGGGGCGACCACGGAGAACAACCCACCCUCCAUGCUGAAAGAUAUAAUCUUAGCCUAAAACAACCCAUUUAAGCAUUAGAAUCCUAACACCCAUUGACCCAAUUCACUUGAUCAACGAACCAAGUUACCCUGGGGAUAACAGCGCAAUCCACUUCAAGAGCCCCUAUCGACAAGUGGGUUUACGACCUCGAUGUUGGAUCAGGGUAC